rnacentral:rRNA from 1 species
AUUGAACGCUGGCGGCAGGCCUAACACAUGCAAGUCGAGCGCAAAGGCGGACGGGUAAGUAAUGCCUAGGAAGCUGCCUGGUAGUGAGGGAUAACGUCCGGGACCGUGAGCUUAUACCGCAUACUGUCAGAUUACCCUAGGUGGGAUUAGCUAGUUGGUGGGGUAAAGGCCUACCAGGGCGAAGAUCCGUAGCUGGUCUGAGAGGAGGAUCAGUCAAACUGGAAUGGCGACACGGUCCAGACUCCUACGGGAGGAAGAAGUGGGGAAUAGGGGACAAUGGGCGAAAGCCGGAGCCAGCAAUGCCGGGUGUGUGAAGAAGGUCUUAGGAUGGUAAAGCACGUUAAGUUGGGAGGCGUUACCAACAGAAUAAGCAACGGCUAACUGCGUGCCAGCAGCCGCGGUAAUAC